AAGACUUAAAACCUCAGCUGAUUGUCAUCAAGUUACCAGGCCUAUGCACACCAAGAGUGAAGUUCCCUGAAAAGCUUUCACUAAUCUCUGGCUUCUCUGCUGCCAAUGGGGCAGUCUUCCCCUUCCUUUGCUUUCUCAAGCUGCUGCCUGAGGUCAGCUGGACCAGCUUGCUGUGAAGCUGUAGCUUUGGAGCCCCUCUUGUGUCCUUUGCUCACCCCCUGCCAGGCAGUGUUCAGUCUGUGUGAGAUGAAGGGUGAGGGGCAGCGAUUGCAGACUCUGUUUGGGCAGUGGGGAUGGGCAGAAGCAACCAGCCUCCAGCCUGCACUGAACUGGCCUCUCAGCCCUGCUGCUGCCUCUGCUGCUGAGGCUUGGCUUGGCAAGACUGAGGGCAAACCUGUGCUGCUGCUGCCAGGAUCCUACUGAGUUUGGGGAAAGGGAAGGAUUUGCUGUAUUGGUGCCCUGGGUGACCUAUGUGGUCAGAUACUGGGACUUGCAGCGUGUUUCUAAACUUGACAUUGUGAAACAGGGGCUCAGACCAGUUCACUGUGCCUUGUGAGACACAGGCACUGCCUGCACCACGGGCUGAUAAACUCCAGCAUGACCCCAGUGUGCCCUAUCAUCCUCUGCUCCAGCCAUCCCUCUGCUCCACAGCCUUCCUGUGAGCCCAUUUUGCAUGUCUCUGUUUAGAUGAACACUGAUUUAUUGCAGCAAGCUGUUGAAGUUUUGAUUCAUCCUGCAGGUUUUCUUGUUCACUGAAAAUCGCUUUUUAAGUUAUUUGCUGAGAUCUUUAAUAAGGAAUUUCCACUUUUGUGACAAGAUAUGGUUUCAAAUGGGUUCUGGCACAUGGUGUUGAAUUGAAAAUAGCUGUAACUUGCUUACAGCAUUGUUAGAAUCUCCAGGGAUAAUGAUGCAACUAAAGCUUCUGCUCUGUUCAUUUUGAAACUCUUGCUCUUGCUGGAGACUCUGCUCUGCUCUGUGUGAUGGACAGUUGUAAUUAGUGACACUUUUGCAUGUUUGCUGUUUCUGAAAGAAAGCAAAUAGGGCCUAAAAUAAUUUUUACUUUGAAUAAGGAUUUCUUCCCCUGUAUGUCUUAAGUUUCCUGCAGCCUGCUUCCUCAGCUCCACUGAAAGACACCAGGUUUUCUCAUGAUCUCCUGCUGGAUAUUUGGCUAAUUUGCUGAGACUUCUAUUUUGACACGAAAGUGAUGUUGGUCUUCUGAAAAACAGGGAAUGUGUUACAUUUUCUAGUCUUUUUGUAUCACCUUUCUCUCAGCCACUUGAUUUCUGUGUUGCUGUAAAUUAUUAACUUUUGAACACAGAGAUAUUAUUGCCUCUAACUCUUCUCCUGCCCUUUGAAUUGCAGGGUUGCUUUUAUUGGCAGCAUGCACUGAGAAAUCAUGUUGGCCACUUACAGCCCUGAAAUUGUAAUAGUUUAUCCCAUUACAUGGUGAUUUUUUCCAGCUCAGUUCUCCUGAGAACCUUGAAAUGGGUUUUCCAUAAAAAUAUUCCAGCCACUCUUUUUCUUUUAAAGGCUAUAGUCAAAUUUGAAGGGAUAAUCUGGCUAUUGUUUCUUGUGGUAUACAUGUUCUACCCUGAUGAUUUUGUAAAUUAUAGAGGAUUUCUAUAGUGUAGUCUGGGUUGCUGAGAACCAGGGGAACGAGCUUGCUUGUUCUUUGGCUGCAAGCAGACAUACGUCAUUAGCAUCUUAACUGAUGGAAACUUUGCCGCGAAAAAUGCACACGCUCUUAAUGCUUUUAAUCUGCACAAGCACUCCAUGAGUUUGCAAUAAGCUGUAAUAAAAGGUUUAGGUGUCUUAUACCUACAUUUCCUCAAUGGCUCACAGUAUCAUCCUCAGGAAUGUAUUCCAAGUGCACUCUGCUUUGUGACUGGUUGUUUUGUCAUCUUCCUUUCUCCAUAGCUGUUGUGAGUAUUGUCUGAGAACCAGAACUGUUGAAUUUGAACUGACAGCACAGUAUGCUGCUACUUUCAAACUGCUUGGGCCUUCAUGUUCAUUAUGAUUCAGGAUGGCAAGUAUUUGACAGGAAAGAACAAAUGAACUAGAACAAGAAUUCACUUGCUUUGAAUAAAUACGGCUUAGUUACACCUGGUGAAGCAAUGUCCUUUUGCUCGAGCGGGGAGUUGCCACACUGCUGCAAAGGCAAAACAUGGCCAGGAGAACAGAAAGAGUCAAGCAGAGCCAUGGAGUUCCUGGGACAAGCAGGAGCAGUGUGUGUACUUGUGACCCCAUUCUCUCCAUGUGCACACUUCCUGGGAUGUGGUGGUGGGGUUUGUCUGUGACGAAUAAUUCAGGUGGUGACAUCAUGUCAGUAUAUGUCCUUCUCCUUCCUCAAUGCCUACUCAAGAAUUGUUGCUCAUGGUUCAAAAUAGCUGUAAGAUAAUAAAUUCCAGCCAAUUCCUGGUGAAAGAGGAAAUAGUAAUUUAAAAAAUUUCCUGUCCCAGACUGUGGCCUGUCAUCCUGUUGGGGUCUGUGAAGAUGAGGUGCAAUAUGUGACAACCUACACAUCCUGUAGGAGCGAAUCACACAUUCAGAGAUCUGCAGAGUUUCCAGGACAGUCCAGAUGGGUUCAUGAGAAAUGACGGGAGAAAAUAAAGGUAAUAUUGAUGGCUACAGAGCCUGAGCCUUGGGAUACUGCUAAUGAUUUGAGUAAGAUUGGAUUUGGAUUUGGAUUUGGCCCAAAAUACUUUUGGCUAAUGAAGAUUAUACUGUCUUCAGCUAGAGGGGCGGGUGUUGAAAUGGGAGUGCUUUCACUGGGUAAGCAAACAUAGUUUUAUGGAGGUAUUCCAGAAGAGACAUGUCCCUAACGCAGCCUGACAGUGUAACUGUUCAGAAAUUAGUGGGAUUUGCCAGGAACCAGUAAUACCCACUACAUUUUGAGCCAGGUUCUUUUGAUGUCCAUUUUCUGAUGUGCUGCCCUGGGGAAAUCUGCCAUCUAUUCAUCUCUUCAAUCCUUUAAUAACAUCCCUUGUGCCAGGAACAUCAGAAUGCUGAAUGCCAUGACUGAGAUGUUACUAUGAAUAUGCUGAAGAUCUUUGCUUGGUGUGCGAUGAAACGAUCUUUGGGGAAUAAGUGAAACAAAAGAGUGUGUAGGAUAUCCUUUAAUUCAAUGAAGAAUGUGGGUGGAGAAGUAAUUGAAAUGAACAAGAUGCUUUGGAUUUUCCUUAAUGCCUUGAAUACUUCAGGGUGUGCUUAAACCUCUCUGUGUGUGUGUGAACCGUUUGCUGCUCAAAGAACUAAUGAAAGCAGGAGCCCAUGUUUUUUAACCUGCUCCCAUCACACCUUUUCCCUGAGGUGCGGGCACUGUAUUCCUUGUGGCAGUUCUGAGAGAGGAGAAAUAACCCUACAAAGGAUUUUAGACUUGUGUAUGUCUGAGUGACAGCCACCUGCUGCUGAAAGCUACUGGAGUGGCUCCUUCCCUCUCCUUGCCCUCAGCAGUGACAGUCCUUUGUGACCUUCUACAGCAGUCACCAGUUGCCUCUUUCAAGUGUGGUUAAAUCUGAGCAACAUAUUCCUGAAUUAUUUAAGGGGAAAGGAAGAUGUGCCUGUAGUCUGCAGCACAGGUGUGUGAGCCUCUCUCCUUCCAAAGGCAGCUUGAAAUAUUUUGUGCACAAAGGAUGGUGUUUUUGAUGCCCAUUGCACCCACUGUCACUAAGGAGUAGGGAGGAAAAGACCAGGAUGCCAGCAGCAGAUAAGCCAAGCCAUAAGGCAACAGUGUUGCCUGCAAGUGAUGCCUGCCAGAUUCCUUCAAGAAUAAAAUCCCUUUUGUUGGAGUUGGACUCAAUCACGCCUUGAAUGAUUUAAUUACAAAAAAACAUUAACCAGAGCUUGAGAGUCAGGUAUGUCUAUGGAUAGUAGCUAUUCAUUUAUCUCCAGCACAACAAAGACAGGAAAUGCUUAAGAUAACAAUGAGCCAACUACAUCUAUCACUUCCUUUCAAGGAAGUUUCAGUUCCUUUCAAAAGAAAACCCUUUGAAUCUAGAAAGACCUAAAGAAUACACUCAUACAUGUUAGAUCAAACCCUUCUCAUAAGCAUUGAAAGAAAAAAAGAUACUAUAGAUGAAGGUCUAUACUUUUGUUGUCUUACAUCCUCAAAAAAAAGCCUCUCAAACAACAAAACCAACCGGACUGGAAGUAUGUAACUGCAUUAUCAUAGACAUGUUGUCAACUCUACACUUGGACUGAAAACUUUUUCUGAAACAUAUUUCCUACUUCAACCAGAAGCUAUGAGCUUCAUGCAGAUUGUGUGCCCUCACUGCUCCAGCUGUCCCUCAUCCUCUGCCUUCCCCUGCUCCAGCUCUCAUGAUGCAGAGAAACUUGUGAUUAAAGAGAAAUGGAAAAUGUCACAAUCUUUGCAGAACAAAGAAGGAUCAGAAGGAAUGUAGUGGAAAUAAACAGAAUCAAGGGUUAUAUAGAGGAAGAUUGUUCUUAUAUGAGAAAAAAGGGCAUUAAGUUAAAUUCUGCAGUAGAGCAUUUACAUCUGAUGAAAGAAUAUAUUUUUGAAGUACCUCAAUUAGUUCAUGGAACUCACUGUUACAAGAUGUCACAGAUUAAAACAGGAUUUAAAAAGGAUUACAUGUUCUUCUCUAUAAACUGUGUGUCCGUUUAUAUUAGUUAAGUACAACAACGAGCUGAUUUAUUUUAUUUGAAUACUGAAUCUGUAAAAAAAUCUGACAGCUUUUUUGGUCAUGGAAUAUAGUUAUGUUGGAAGAAACAAAAGACUUCAUCAAAAGAUAUCACUUCAACACUCAUAA